GGGUGAUCGCGGCUCACCUGGAGAUCCUGGUUUUCCAGGUCCCCCUGGCCCCCCCGGUCCACAAGGGGGCCAGAAAGGUGAGAAAGGAGAACAUGGGGAGCUUGGAAAGAGGGGAAAACCUGGCAAAGAUGGUGAACAAGGCCUCCCUGGAUAUCCGGGUGAUAAAGGAGAACCAGGUCCUCCUGGUCUGUCGGGGCGAG
rnacentral:lncRNA from 1 species